AUGAACGCUGGCGGCGUGCCUAAUACAUGCAAGUCGAGCGAACAGACGAGAGUGCUUGCACUCUCUGACGUUAGCGGCGGACGGGUGAGUAACACGUGGGUAACCUACCUAUAAGACUGGGAUAACUUCGGGAAACCGGAGCUAAUACCGGAUAAUAUUUAGCUUCGCAUGAAGCAAUAGUGAAAGACGGUUCUGCUGUCACUUAUAGAUGGACCCGCGGUGUAUUAGCUAGUUGGUGAGGUAACGGCUCACCAAGGCAACGAUACAUAGCCGACCUGAGAGGGUGAUCGGCCACACUGGGACUGAGACACGGACCAGACUCCUACGGGAGGCAGCAGUAGGGAAUCUUCCGCAAUGGACGAAAGUCUGACGGAGCAAUGCCGCGUGAGUGAAGAAGGUUUUCGGAUCGUAAAACUCUGUUGUAAGGGAAGAACAAGUACGUUAGUAACUGAACGUACCUUGACGGUACCUGACCAGAAAGCCACGGCUAACUACGUG
rnacentral:rRNA from 1 species